rnacentral:rRNA from 1 species
UACAGAGGAUGCAAGCGUUAUCCGGAAUGAUUGGGUCGUAAAGCGUCUGUAGGUGGCUUUUUAAGUCCGCCGUCAAACCGUGGCCGUCAACUCUGGACAGGCGGUGGAAACUACCAAGCUGGAGUACGGUAGGGCAGAGGGAAUUUCCGGUGGAGCGGUGAAAUGCGCAAGAGAUCGGAAAGAACACCAACGGCGAAAGCACUCUGCUGGGCCGACACUGACACUGAGAGACGAAAAGCUAGGGGAGCGAAUGGG